AAUAUUUAGACGCUUUAGUCAGAAAUAAGCUAACGCUGUAACUCACAAAUAGAUUUAAUAUCGCCAGUAAUGUAAUUUGGAAAACCUAACACUGUAAUUUAAGUUAGUUACAAUUUUGUAAUUUCAAUAGUCUAAUAUCGUAAUUUCGACAUUAGUGUAAUAUUUGUACGAUAUUUGCAAGUACACAAAGGUGGGAAAUGUGAAAUUAUAAAAGAACAGGUUUACAAGUGAAGAUAAAGGAAUGAUAUUUCUAAAGAGACUUUGAGCACAAACACAUCGCAACACUUGCACCGAAAUGGCUCACGCGGCGGAUAGUUAUUACGCUAUUAAUCGGAUUCUAUUACAAUGUAUUGGCCUAUGGCCAUAUCAAAGAUUUGAUUUCAGGUGUAUUCUAGUAACACUAAUGACUCUAAUGCUUUUAUCCAGCGUAGUAUUGCAGUUCACAACCUUCGUCACGAAAGAAUACAGUUUAGAUCUUCUUCUGAAGAUCCUCGCGUAUAGUAUACCAUUCCUGACUUAUUUGUUGAGAUUUCUUCUUUGCUUCAAAAUGGAGGAGAUGCGAGGUCUUAUACAACGAGUGCGUUUCGACUGGAAUGAAUUAAACAACGCGCGUGAACUUGAAAUAAUAAAAAAAUAUUCCGCUCUCGGAAAAUUUAUCACAUUAGUUGCGAUAUCGUCCAUCUAUCCAAGUAUAUUUGGCUUUAUCUUGAUACAACUUCUGGCAAAUUUUGUUCUGGACUUCAAAACGACUGCAAACGAAACUCGUUUGUGGCAGCUUCCAGCUGAGGUCGAGUUUUUUCUAGAUCAGCAAAAGUAUUUCAUUCCGCUUUUGUCAUAUGUGUUCAUUAUUGUAAUAUGUGGUAUGACCACACUAAUAGCCAUUGAGACACUUUUUAUGUCAUAUGCUCAACACGCGUGUGGAUUAUUCGAAGUAGCCAACUGUCGCAUAGAGCAAGCAUUGCACAAAGGUAUGGCACGAGAUAUAGUAUCUAUUGCUGAAAAAAACUCAAUAAUGUGUCAGGAAAUAGUUAGUGCAGUCGAUGUACACAGGAAAGCACUCGAGUUUAUCGAAAUGUCAAAAGCGAAUUUUAGAUGGGUUUAUUUCAUGGCAUUACCAUUGUCCGUGCUAUCACUCAGCCUCAAUCUAUAUCGCCUCUCUCGACUGAUAACUACCAAUGAAUAUCAGGAUACAAUAUCAACUAGUCUGUUCAUUAUUGGUCAUUUUUGGUAUCUGUUCUUCUGCAAUUAUUUAGGACAGGAGGUGAUCGAUCAUAGCAGCAAUAUCUUUCGUAAAACAUACAACGUACAAUGGUACAUGGUUCCGUUGAAAGUGCAAAAGUUAUUGCUGAUUAUAAUGCAAAGAAGCAUCCAACAUUGCACAGUAAUGAUCGGCGGCUUAUUCAUUCCGUCAUUAGAAGGAUUUGCCACGCUUAUAAGCAUGUCACUGUCGUAUUUUAUGGUAAUGUAUUCCACCCAUUUUUCUAGUUAAUCUUGAAUGACGUCAGCACACAUUUCAGUACGCACGUUGCAAAGAAAGUACUGUAACGUUCUCGUUUCGAAUAGAAGUGGAGAGACGUCGGAAACGUGUGAAGACGACUUUGCAAUUGCGCGUGCGCCGAUCAAACGUAAAAGAGAAAUAUCACCCACAUACGUAAAGAAAAAAAAAUGGGUUAAUCCUGCAAAUAAUAAUGUUCACCAAAGGAUUAUAGAUACAGACCCUGGCCAAAUAUAUGCCAAAGCUAUAAUUUACAUGACUCCAGUAAGCUAUUGUAAUUUUACAAGAGAUCAGCGUAUUAUUUUGAAUGCGCAGAAAGAGUGAAUUAUAAUUUACAAUCAAACGUGACAAACCUAAGUGGUAAUUCGUGGAAAGAAAUUCGACACAAAUGCGUUUUAACAUUUACAGGAAUGGCAAAAUUGCCCGGUAAACCAAUACUAUAUAAUCUAUCGAAUUUUAUUACUAUGCAUUGCCUUGUAACCAUACCAAAAGUGCAGUUUCAGGCGUAUCAUAAUAAUAUUUACAAUGAUUGCAUCAGGCGUAGUAUUUCAGUAUAAGACAUUGUUGUGGGAAUGCAAUGCAUAACAAAUAACGAGAGCUGAUUAUUCCAUUUGCAAGUGACAAAGUAAGCCUUUAUUCAGAUAGUAUACU